rnacentral:rRNA from 1 species
CCCUUAGAUGUUCUGGGCUGCACGCGCGCUACACUGAAGCUAUCAACACGUUUUCCCUCCCUGAGAAGGGCGGGUAACCUUUUGAAUCAGCUUCGUGGUAGGGAUCGGGGCUUGCAAUUGUUCCCCGUGAACCAGGAAUUCCUAGUAGACGCGAGUCAUAAGCUCGCAUCGAUUAAGUCCCUGCCCUUUGUACACACCGCCCGUCGCUACUACCGAUUGAACGUUUUAGUGAGGCAUUUGGACCGACGCAUCUCAGUUUAACCGCUGGUUUGUGGUGGAAAGACUUCCAAACUUGAGCGUUUAGAGGAAGUAAAAGUCGUAACA